rnacentral:rRNA from 1 species
GACGAACGCUGGCGGCGUGCCUAACACAUGCAAGUCGAACGGAAAACAUAGCAAUAUGUUUUUAGUGGCGAACGGGUGAGUAACGCGUAGACAACCAACCUUUUUGUGGGGGACAACACUUCGAAAGGAGUGCUAAUACCGCAUGCGCUCUUGGUGCCGCCUGGUGCCGGGAGGAAAGGAGCUGUAAGGCUUCGCAGAAAGACGGGUCUGCGUCUGAUUAGCUAGUUGGAGGGGUAACGGCCCACCAAGGCGACGAUCAGUAGCCGGUCUGAGGGGAUGGACGGCCACACUGGGACUGAGACACGGCCCAGACUCCUACGGGAGGCAGCAGUGGGGAAUCUUCCGCAAUGGACGAAAGUCUGACGGAGCGACGCCGCGUGAGUGAUGAAGGCCCUUGGGUCGUAAAGCUCUGUCAUCAGGGACGAACGGUCACGUCAGGAAAUGGGCGUGAAUUGACGGUACCUGAGAAGGAAGCCACGGCUAACUACGUGCCAGCCGCCGCAGUAAGA